rnacentral:rRNA from 1 species
GAGUUUGAUUCAUGGCUCAGGACGAACGCUGGCGGCGUGCUUAACACAUGCAAGUCGAACGAUGAAGCCUAGCUUGCUAGGUGGAUUAGUGGCGAACGGGUGAGUAAUACGUGAGUGACCUACCUUUGACUCUGGGAUAAGCCUGGGAAACUGGGUCUAAUACCGGAUACGACCAAUCUCUGCAUGGGGUGUUGGUGGAAAGCGUUAUGGAGUGGUUUUAGAUGGGCUCACGGCCUAUCAGCUUGUUGGUGAGGUAAUGGCUUACCAAGGCGACGACGGGUAGCCGGCCUGAGAGGGUGACCGGCCACACUGGGACUGAGACACGGCCCAGACUCCUACGGGAGGCAGCAGUGGGGAAUAUUGCACAAUGGGCGCAAGCCUGAUGCAGCGACGCCGCGUGAGGGAUGACGGCCUUCGGGUUGUAAACCUCUGUUAGCAUCGAAGAAGCGAAAGUGACGGUAGGUGCAGAGAAAGCGCCGGCUAACUACGUGCCAGCAGCCGCGGUAAUACGUAGGGCGCGAGCGUUGUCCGGAAUUAUUGGGCGUAAAGAGCUUGUAGGCGGUUGGUCGCGUCUGCUGUGAAAGGCCGGGGCUUAACUCCGGUUUUGCAGUGGGUACGGGCUAACUAGAGUGCAGUAGGGGAGACUGGAAUUCCUGGUGUAGCGGUGGAAUGCACAGAUAUCAGGAGGAACACCGAUGGCGAAGGCAGGUCUCUGGGCUGUAACUGACGCUGAGAAGCGAAAGCAUGGGGAGCGAACAGGAUUAGAUACCCUGGUAGUCCAUGCCGUAAACGUUGGGCACUAGGUGUGGGGGACAUUCCACGUUUUCCGCGCCGUAGCUAACGCAUUAAGUGCCCCGCCUGGGGAGUACGGCCGCAAGGCUAAAACUCAAAGGAAUUGACGGGGGCCCGCACAAGCGGCGGAGCAUGCGGAUUAAUUCGAUGCAACGCGAAGAACCUUACCAAGGCUUGACAUGCAUUAGAUCGCGUCAGAGAUGGCGUUUCCCUUCGGGGCUGGUGUACAGGUGGUGCAUGGUUGUCGUCAGCUCGUGUCGUGAGAUGUUGGGUUAAGUCCCGCAACGAGCGCAACCCUCGUUCUAUGUUGCCAGCGGUUCGGCCGGGGACUCAUAGGAGACUGCCGGGGUCAAACUCGGAGGAAAGGUGGGGAUGACGUCAAAUCAUCAUGCCCCUUAUGUCUUGGGCUUCACGCAUGCUACGAAUGGCCGGUACAGAGGGUUGCGAUACUGUGAGGUGGAGCUAAUCCCUUAAAGCCGGUUCUCGGUUCGGAUUGGGGUCUGCAAACACGACCCCGUGAAAGUUCGGAGUCGCUAGUGAAUCGCAGAUUCAGCAAACGCUGCGGUAAAUACGUUUCCCGGGCCU